UCUAAAUGUUAAUGUUAGUGUUUAAGAUUUUCUUUUAGCCACUUCUUUGUUUACUUUGAAAACUAUAGGAUUUUUGUCUAAUGUAGAUGCGUGUGUAAAUGGUAUUUUUAGCCUUUCUUUAUCAAUUGUGUUGAUGCCAAUGUAAUUCAUUAGGUAGGAUUUAACUAAGACAUUGAGUGGGUUUAACUCCAAUAGAAUAGUGAGUAGCAAAAUCAAGGUUGGAUCUGAUAGUGAUGGUACAUCCACACACAAUGAACUCCACUUAUUUAUAAAUACCAACCACUCAAUUUCUAGUCAAAUCAUAAUUGAAUACAAUGAAUAUUGUCUCAUGAUUGUGGAAGCAUUAAUGAUGAAAAGCCAAUGCAUUUCUAAGAGAUUUCAGCCUCAAUCUUGUCUUUAUUUAUUAAAAAAAACAACGUUUGUAGAAGCAAAACAUUAGUCUUAGGCCCCAAAUUGUGCUGCUCAAAGCUUCCUUUCACCCACGCAUAUGUUGCUUCUCUUUAUUGUCCUCCUUUUCAUCUUAUGUUCAAUGGUUCUUUUGAUAAGAUUGGGCCUAUAUCUAUGGACGGUGGCAUUGGGAAAGAAAGAGCUUGUCUUCUAAUCAAGAAAGAGUUGAAAUGGAAAAGAGGAAACUAGUUUUGAAGGUAGAAUGAGAUUUCAUUGAAGAGUAUAAGGUGGUGAGAGAAGGAUAGGAUUCAAGAGAAGAGAGAUAGUAAAUAAGUUGAAGUUUCUUUUGAAGUAGUGUUUGUGUAUAUCUUUUACAGUUGUGUCUAUGUAUACUUUAUCCGUUUUGGAAUAUGUUUAACGACAUUUUGGUUUAA